rnacentral:tRNA from 1 species
UGGCUCAGUGGUUAAGAGCAUUGGCUGUUCUUCCAAAGGACCUGGGUUCAAUUCCCAG